GGGGAUGAGAUAGGGGAUUUAUGGACAGGGAAACUGGGAAAGGGGAUAACAUUUGAAAUGUAAAUAAAAAUAUAAAUAUAGGCCUUAGUACAUAAAAAAAAUAAAGUGGAGGGUGAUUGAAGAAGAUACUUGAUAGCUUUUGACCUCUACAUGCACAUAUACAUACAGACAUUGGACUCACAUGAAUAUCACACACACACACACACACACACACACACACACACACACACACACACGGCCAUUGAGAAAAACCAGAGUGCCCCUUCCUUUAAAGGCCUGUCCUUAUGUUUAUGGCUUGUGGGGCAAGAAUGCUGCUGCUCCAGUUGGAGCCCUUGUUCUAUGGGAUGGUGACCUUUCCUUCCCUGGUGUUUGACCUUAUGGAACCUCAUGCAAAUGUGUGUUAUUUAGCCCACAGCCCACAGUUCUGCCCAUAUUCCUAUCUCAGCCAGAUACAUUGUCGCCUCUGGCGUCUAGUGAUGAACAUAGAGAAGCCAGAACAUUCCCUGACAGUGAUCGUUGGCUUUUCGGGCAGGAAACUCCUGGGUUCCAGGCACUUUGAUCUGUUAAGAGAGAUGGAAGUUACAGGCUGCCAUAUGUCCUUGUGAGAUGGGUGGUCAGAGGAAGAUGGAAGGCCUCCUUUAAAGUGUAAGACUUAAUCGGAGUCCCAGUUUCUCUAAGUGCAACUGUGUUUUCAAUACUCAUUUCCAGAUCCUGUCCAACCAGGCAGCCUUGCACCGCCUGUCCCACCUCUAGGCCUCCUCACUAGGGCCUCACACUCUUCAGAUGCUUCAGAAGGUCUGGUGCAUGGAUGAAGGCAAGGGAAAGGCUGCAGCUGAAGCGGAUGUUGGGUGUCCUGUCUGUAAGGAGGACACGAUGGUGCUUGGGAUGCACAAACCUCCAUACAGCUGUGCACCUCUGGAACUUUCAUAAGGACACAUGUCUUCAAAAACACCUAGCCAAAACUAAAUAAAUAAUAAAAAGAAAAGGAGAAGGAAGAGCACAGGAAUGAGAAAAUCCAAAGCCGGAGAUGCCACAAGGUUAAUUGAACGCAGACACUGGACUGAAAGGCAGGUCUGACUCCGGACCAUGGCACUGUAGCUAGUGUAAUGGAGGUAACAAUCAGAACUCUACACCAAGCCUGGAAUCCUCUUCACAGUGUGACCAUUCCUUAAGCCGUCUUCCUGACUCGGGUCUGUUGGGGUAGCCCUGUUGUCAGCAUACUAGCUGUUAGCACAGACCAGCUUCAUGCUAGCCUCAGGUCAUUUGAGGGCUUUACUGGGCUAUUCUAGCACUUUACUCUGAGAAAGCCCAUUCACCGGCUACAUCCUCACCAGGGCCUCUCUGCCCCGGCUUUGGGCUUCUCCACAGAAUUCACGCACAACCUUAGUUAUGAUGCCUCUUUUUAAAUGUAUGUGUGUAUGUGUAUGCAUGUGUGAGUGUAUAUUUGUGUGUGUGAUACACAGAGACAGAAAGACAGACAGACAGAAUCUUCAAAACUAGAUAGGAAAGCUAUUUUUUCAUUUAUUGUUAUCUAUUUUGUAAUAUAAUUUUUCACUACCAGUCACCAGAGUACAUUAUGUAUUUAACAUAUAUUUGUAGCUGAUAGCAGUCAUUUUCCAUUUUUAAAUUAAUUUAUGUUCACAUAAAAAGAAAUGGGUGUUAUCACAGCACCUUCAUACUUCUGUGUCAUGAUAAUGACAGUUUUUAAAGAAAGAAGAUUUGACUUGUUCUCUUGAGUAUUUUUUUUUCUUAAUGAAACAGACUCAGGAAUGAAUCCUAGUUCCCAACUCAUUUCUUGCCAAAGGCUAUCCCAGGGUAAUAAAGUAUGGGACCGUGAGUCUGGUGUUGAGGAAUAUGCUGUCAGCUUUGUCAUGUGAGGAAGAUUGCUACUCCUUUCACAUUCAAAUUGUUCACACGACUAAGUUAGCAUUAGGCUGUUCUGGUUCUAAUCAGUACUUCAAAUUCAACGGCUAAUUGCUCAAGAUGUGAGGAUAUUUCUGAACAUCUUCUAUAGGGAAGUAGUGUAUUUAUUUGAGAAAGCCUUAUAUACUGCUAACCAAUGACCAGUCACUCUUGCCAGAACCUGGGAGAUGUCAAAGCUUUUCUCAUGUGAAUUGGGCCCAGCUUCCAGUUUUGUGUUUUCAAGAGUGAAAACUGUGUGCCCUCCUUUAUCUGAGUAUCUUUUGAGAGAGCAGGAUGUAUACAAUGCUAAGCCAAGCUAUCCCACGCCCCCUUCUCAUAAAGUUGAGGUUGAGUCAAUGUCUCAUCAGGUGAAGGUGCCUACCACCAGGAUGGACACUGAGAUCUAUAAGGCUGAGGCAGGAGGAUGUAACUAAGUAUGGGUACCACAUUAGGUUCGACAACUCUUUCCUUACCAGUCUAGCCUUAGCUCAUAUGGGCUGAAGAACUUGCCGUGGCCCAGGUUGAGAGAAAAGGACAGAGAGUGCCUUUCGUGUAAGACCUUGCCAAAGAGAGCCCCUCUGUGGAGACGUUUGAGUGAGUAACCAUUUCCCACAUUGUAGGCAACUCAUUUAGUGUGAAGAUAGGGAAAGAGGCCAGCAGUGGCAGCAAAAAUCCUUUCUUUGAGGGGCUAGACAAGUGAGAAAAUGACAUUCUCCUGUCUAACGUAUGCAUCCUGUGGCUUUUGAACCACAGGGUAGAGUCAUCGUGAUGACCAGGACACUGUAUUUCUAACCAGCUUUAUGAGGCAAAGGAAAUAUCUUCCAGUUUCUGAUCACAGACAAGUUGCCAACUAUAUCAGGCACUCUUAGCCAGGUUUCCUUUCAUUUAGACCCUAAGUGCAAGGCAGAGCAGUAAAUAAGUGUGGUCUUCAGGACAUUUUUUAAAAAACAAUGUUGUGAAGUAUGAUUUAAGAAGGAGAUAAUCAGUUGGAGAAAAAAAUGCUGAAUAGAAAAAAUAAUGCUGCAAAUAUCAUAAAUACUGAUGAUGAUGAUGAUGACGACGACGAUGACGACAACAGCCAGGACGACAAUGACAACGAUGACAACAAUGAUGAUGACGAUGAUGCUUUUCAGAACCACGAAGACAGUGGGAAGAAGACACACCUCUAACCUGGGACGCACCUUCUGCUGGAAGCCUACGGAAAGGCACGAAAAAGGAAGCUUUUGCUCUGUGCCUGCCUGCUCUUGCCUCGAUAGCACGUCCAGUCUUUGGGAGUCUGGUACCUACUGAAGACUGGCUCAUCUUCAUAAAGCCUCAAGGACUGAACGACUACUGGAAUCUUGGACUUUUCAUUCAUAGGCCGCCAUUAUUGGAUUAUAAUACAGUCUGUAAAUCAUUCUAGUAAAUCCCCUAAAGAUAUACUGCACAAUCUUCUCCAUUGCCAGAUGUACAGUCUCAAGACUGAGAUUGAAGGAACACAGGGUUGAGGCCAGCCUGGGCUACCUGACACCUUAUAUCAAAAAAAGGAAAAAAAAAUCACAACAUACAAUUGAAGAAACCUCCAAAGGCAAGCUUCUUUUUUACAUUUUUUCUUUUAUUGGAUUCUUUUUUUACAUUUCAAAUGUUAUCCCUUUUCCCAGUUUCCCUUCCAGAAACCUGCUAUCUUCCCCUGCUUCUAUAAGGGUGCCCCUCUCUGCCCUGUCAUUCCCCUACACUGGGACAUCGAGCCUUGAUAGGCCAAAGCGCCUCUCCUCCCAUUAAUGCCCAACAAGGCUAUCCUCUGCUACAUAUGUGGCUAGAGCCAUAGGUCCAUCCCUGUGUAUUCUUGGGAUGGCAUUUUAGUCCCUGGGACCUCUGGGGGGUCUGGUUGGUUGACAUUGUUGUUGUUCUUUUGGGAUUGUAAACUCCUUUAGUUCCUUCAGUCCUUUCUCCAACUCCUCCAUUGGGGACCCCGUUCUCAAUUCAAUGGUUGGAUGCAAACAUCUGCCUCUGUAUUUGUCAGGCCCUGGCAGAGCCUCUCAGGGCACAGCUAUAUCAGGCUCCUGUCAGCAUGCAUUUCUUGUCAUCAACAAUAGUAUCUGAGUUUGGUGGCUGUAUGCACAUGGGCUGGAUUCCCAGGUGGGGCAGGCUCUGGAUGGCCUUUCCUUCAGUCUCUGCUCCACACUUUGUCUCCAUAUUUCCUCUUGUGAGUAUUUUUGUUUCUCUUUCCAAGAAGAAACAUUUUGGUUUUCCUUCUUCUUGAGCUUCAUGUGGUUUGUGAAUUGUAUCUUGGGUAUUCCGAGCUUUUGGGCUAAUAUCCAUUUAUCAACGAGUGCAUACCAUGUGUGUUCUGUUGUGAUUGGAUUACCACAUUCAGGAUGAUAUUUUCUAGUUCCAUCCAUUUGCCUAAGAAUUUAAUGACGUCAUUGUUUUUAAUAGCCAAGUAGUACUCCAUUGUGUAAAUGUACCACAUUUUCUGUAUCCACUCCUCUGUUGAGGGACAUCUGGGUUCUUUCUAGCUUCUGGCUAUUAUAAAUAAGGCUGCUGUGAAAACAGAGGCAAACCUCUAAACCUUGAACUUCCCAGCCUCUAGAACUUCAAGAAAUUUCUCUUCUUUACAAAUGACUCUGCCUUAGGUACUGCGUGAUAGCAUCACAAGAAGGGUGAAGAUACUUAAUCUUAAUGUAAGGUUCCUUUUGUCAUGUAGCAUGAGACAUUCAAAGAUGCUUUAGCUGGGAUCGAACUUUCUCAGUGAGGAGGUUGUUCUGUCUCCCAUGGACAUGGAACUCAAACUAGAUGCUGGCAUUUGACUGCCAAGGAAGAGUUUGGGAAAACGAGGGAAAAGGGAACAUUUUAUGGAUCUAACCAUGUGCUCUUUAUAUUGUCAUACUUUGGGGUCAACUUUAUGGUCUUUUCAGAAUUAGUGAUGUCUUUGAGUAAAUGUGAAAAAAUUUUAAUUCUCUUUUGUGGUUUUCAUUUUUUUCUCCAUGUCACUUUUGGUUCUUAGUGUUUGUAUUACAAAGCAAUUUAAAAAACCAAUAAAUUUUAUUUCAGAUGUGCUCCACUCUGCGUGCCAGCAUGUCUACUCCUGGGACUCUCACCUUUCUAGCCCCUCCCCUGUCUUCCCACGGGACAAGUUUCUCUGCAAGGAAUACCAGGAGUGCUGAUGCUGUAUUCCAGACAACAACCUCACUGAAACUGUUAACCACGGAAGCUACCACUUAACGCCAGAAUAUUGUAUAAAUAUCACUGUCUGAGGAAAGCAGGUUUAUGCACAUUGUAAAAAUAUCUAAUCACAAGAAUUUUACUAAAAAGUAUUCUCUCUCUC